rnacentral:lncRNA from 1 species
GGGGCAGUCUGCCCUGGGUCCCAACACUGCUUUUGAGUCAAGAUUGCAAGACUACUGUUAGUUAUGUCUGACCAGAUACUGAAAGUCAAAGGUCAGCAGAUGGAAGCAGAGCUGGUUGGGACAUGGAGAAUUGUCUCAGAGCACGUCUCGAUGAUACUUCAUCAAGAGUCUGCUGCUUCCAGGCUUGCUUUCUUCAGUCAGCUGAAUGCAGGGAACGAGGAAGCUCCAGGGCAGAGCUGCAAGAUGGAAGGAGCCAGGAUCCCUGAGUCGGCCUGCAACAGACCGCCUGCUGACCAGGAACACCUGCCGUGGAAGUUUACCAGAGCGAGAGAGAGACUUCUGUUGUGCUUUGGCCAGUUAAUGUAGACGUGUGAUGUGACAGAGUUGGGACGUUUUAUUAGGCUGCAGUACUUUCUUAGAGGUGUAAUCUGAAGGAGGCUACUACUCAUGUGAAAACUGGUGAAUGAGGAUUUGUGAUGCCAACUGUGAAGGUUGCCAGCAGUGGAGGAGAGACUGAUCUUCAGAGCACUCUCGUUUAAUAAUGAUCUUAGGGCUAAGAAUUGUUAGUUUUUAUUGAUUUCCUAGAAUUUACAUAAUUGAAAAAUUAGCAAAUGUAUGAGGUAUGUAUGAUGUGGCAUUUCCAAACUUAAGUCAUUUCCCUACUCCUUCAUUGUUUUUGCUGUGUUUUAUACCACAGCAUUUUAUCUCACUCUGUUUUUUGUUUGUUGUUCUGUUUGUUUGGUAACGUCUGUUGCCAAGCUUCCUUUUUUUGCUUGAGGAAGAUUCUCCCUGAGCUAACAUCUGUGCCAGUCUUCCUCUAUUUUGCAUGUGGGAUGCUGCCACAGCAUGGCCGAUGAGUGGUGUAGGUCUGCACCUGGGACCCGAACCCACCAACCUGGGCCACUGAAGUGGAGUGUGCCGAACUUAACCACUACACCACAGGGCCGGCCCCUUUCUCACUUUUUUCUUUUUAAACUUAGCAUUGUCAUAAGAAGUAAUACAUGUGGAGUCAUAGGUUGGUGUGUUAUUUUUUCCUAAUAUCUAUUUGAAUAAUACAUACUUAUUUAAAAAUCCCAACAUGUGGUAGAUAACUUUAUUUUAAACGCCACUAGUGAUAUUUCUAUCAUACCUGGGAAAUGCUGUUCACAUAAUGAAUAUUAUUUUUUAGGAUCUUCAGUGCUUAAUCCAUAAAAUUCUAAUAGAAAUAGAUGCAGUCACAGGAACUAGCGGACGUACUGUGUCUAACAGGGCUUUGGUUACAGCUUUUUCCUAUCACAGAUUAGUAUUCUGUUUGAUUAAUAUCUACAUUUGUUUGUGACUGAGGGACAACGAAAACAGUGUAUUUAAAUAAUUUUUGAACAGUGUUAAGCAGGAUGUGCUUCUAAAGUUAGUGAGGAAUGGGCCUAAGGAAGUGCUAAUGACCGUGACAUUAAGAUACAAAAAUCUUGGAAAAUACUGAUACUUGUGGUAGAGAAAGAAUUUGAUAAUCCCGUGAUCCGAGGGUGAAGAAGAUAAUGAGGCUUGACCGGCCCCGGGGAAGCGUUGUUAGAUUAGUGACUUAAAUUUCAGGUAUUGAGGAAAGAAUUCCAGUAGGGAAGUUUUUCGCAUUUUCCUCUUCUUCUCCUUUUAUUUGCCCAUAUCUUUUUGUUCACUUGAGAGUAUGUAAGAUGUUGUCCUGGGGACAUUUCCUAUCAGUGUCAGCAGGAAAGAGUACUUUGUUGGAGGGGUGCCCUGGCGAUCCUUGGUAGCUGAGGAAGUACCCACGUGCUGCUUCUCUCCCCUCUCAAAUGGUUUUAAAGUUCUAGAAUUUGCCUAAACCAUUGGAUUUAUAUAUAAUUUAAAUGUUAACUUCUUCCGUCAUUUUGGUAAGUUUGUCCCUUGGUGUAUAAAUUAAUACUUUAAAUUUGUUCUAAAACAUCUGUGUUUAAAGUUGAAAAGCAAGUUGCUUAUUUCAGGUGUUCCAGAACUUUGUAGAUGAGUCUUAUACACUAUAGACAGUGAGCACAUUGAAACUUAGUCUUUUUGGUUUUCCUUUUGAAGAGUCUAACUUCAUAUAUAGUCCUGUUUUCGCUCCUGACUUCCUUUACCCAUUUUUUAUGAUUUGAAUCAUUAACACCCUAUACCAGCAGGCAGGAUAGUAAAAGCAGGCAAGGUAAAUAAAGGAAAAGUGAUAGAACUUCAGAUGAGUUAAUUUUGUAAUUUGUGUUAGAUCAGUUAAAACAGGAGUAUGUUAAAAUAGUCAAAGAACAAUCGUUUAAACUUUGGAGAUUUUUUGCCCUUUUCUCACUUAGAACAAUUAAUUGACAGUGAGAUGUGAGAGACACUGACAGAGCUUUAGUGAAAAGCAGCAAAAUGGAAUUCAGAAGGAGAAUUUAGAGGGAAAACUUGAAAAUGGAAAUGCAGUUUUGCUAGGUGAAAACUAAGGAAAAGGGGAUCAGGAAAGUUACAGAAAAAUGAUAGCAUUCUCGAAUGAAUGGCAUAACGUUUAUAGAGAGAACCUGCUGAGAUGGUGAAAGAGUCUAGAGAUGUGUGUGAUUGCAAACCUCCCCCCUUUUUGAGCGAAUAGACCGUUCAAACUAAAUUAAGAAAAGGAUAUAAAGUCUGUUGUUUGUUUUAAUAUUUCAUGACUGAUUUUAUAGAUGAAAUUAUAUUUUACAAUAAAUAGGAAGAAGAAUUUAUGUAGCCUGUUCUAUUUGAUGUGAAACAGCAAAUCCCGUCUCUCUGUAGCUGUGAAGAAAAUUCGUUAUAAUGUCUUUAGUUGUAAGAGAUGGUUUCAUUGUGAUUAGUUACAUUGAUGAUAAAACAACCUUUUCAAAUGGCAUACGACACGAAUGAUCGUGUGUGUCUGCUUUUAAUGGCAUUGAAAUUUUUCAUUUUCUGUUUUACUCAUAGAAUUUUCCUUUUUUUAUGCUGUUUUCCUGUUCCAAUAAGAAUUUUCUUCCUUUUGAGAAAAAUCAAAACAAUUAGAUGGAAAUAUUAACAAAGCAUUAAUUUUAAAAAUACAUUUUGAAAGGAGAUAUAUUGGAUUUUAACUUUUUGUGUAAAAUCUUUCCUACUACACAAGAUAGCUUUGUCAGAGGUGGUUAAGAUCGCCAUAAAAUUGACUUUAUUACUGGAUCAAUUUAAUGUAUUUGGAAAAUAGUACUUGAAGUGUAGGAACAUUUUAAUAAAAGAAACAGCCAAGUAAGAAAACUGGGCUAAUGUUACAGUUUAUUUUUGUCCCAUGACUUGUCACGUUAUGUUGCUGUUACUACAUCCUCACGAGUAGUGUUGGGAAGGGGAGACUCUUUGAUAAUGAAAGGGGUGAGGUCUGUUUAUUCUGUUACAGUCACCAUGGCUUGAUCCCUAUUAGUAUGGCUUUUUAAUGAUUGUUUUAGCUCUAACUUAAGCACUAAGCAAAUAUUCUAAUUUUUAACUUGCAGGCAGAAUCAAAUUAGGUAUUUGAAACAGAACAUGGGUAUCCCCUGGAAUAGGAACAGUAUUCUCUUCUGACUUGAGUGCGAAUUUUUUUCUCUCUGUCGAUAGUUUUAUUUACUCUGACCAUUUGGGCUUAAGAGCACAUAGUUCUAGCUUGUCUUGGGUUUGUCCUUGGACUCUGGCUGGGGAAGGUUAUUUUUAGAAGUAGGCUAGACAUGGCAUGUGAGAUGCUUUGGAGGUGGAACUUAAUCAGAUGUGAGUCCUGUGACCAGAGCCCCUACAUCUCCGAAGUUUGAAUGCCUCCUGCUAGGAGGAGACUGUGCUGUAGGAUCUCCACAACUUCUGGAGUUCGUCCUUUUUUGACCUCCUCAAAGGGAAAGGGCAAAAGAGCAUUGGGAGCUUUUAUAAAUGCACGUGUGUGCACGCCAGCCAUGCUGCACACUAUCCCCUGUUGUGACUUUACCAUGGGCCUGGUGCCAACACGUGCUAACUGCACACUGCUUGCACCACUAAUUUGGGACACAGAUGGCCCAGACGUGUUUGUGGCUCAGUGAAGGUGAGGGAGCUGCUGAGCUGCCAGUCCACAAAGAUUGAUGAAAUCUGAGAACUUCAGAGGAAAGAGCUGGCGUGGCACCAAGGCCAUUAGCAUAUGGAAUCCUUAUCAAGUGUAUCUCGGCUUACUUGCACAUUGAAUUUUCAGUUAGACUUCUUUUAGUUUACUUAAUUACCUGCUUAUAACAAUUCAAAUAAAUCCUGAGAAGUUAUGUUUUGUGUAGCUAGGGAGCUGACUUCAUGUAGAUUAACACUGGAGUCCAAAAUCGGAGAGAAGGGAAGAGUCUCACGUAUAAACUUCACAUUGUGUCUUUGUACUCAGUUCACUUUGGGUUCUGUCUAAUGGAAUGCAGUGCCUUAAAACGUUACAUGGUUGUGUUUUCAACUAGUUUUAUCUUCUGUAGUAUAUUUAUUUUCUAGAAGGAUAUAUUUUAAAUGUUUUGGCACCGAUAAAAUGUAGAGAAAUGUAAAUAUAAUGGCAAUUAGACAGUUUCAUUUUUAAGAUUAGUAAUUUCUCUUUCAGUGAAGAGAAGGUGAGUCAGGUAUGGUAAUUUUUCUAUUUAAAAUGGGGUACUAGCAUUAUAGCAUAUGCAUAUAUAUUUUUCUUUAAAAUCAAUGAGUAUUCAGUAUUGGUACUAAAUUUAAACCUGGUUGUUCUUUAACAUUUUCUAAAAUUGAUCUUCCCUUAAUGGGCUUUCCGUAGAUAGGACAUAAGUUGAGCCUCAUGUUCAGUGAUUUCUCUCCUAUUUCGGAGCCCAGUUAAUCUUCACUAUGGCCAUCACUCCGUCACUUAAUCCACUUCAUGUACUUACACUCUCAGCGACCCUUCUAGAUUCAGUGUUCAAAGCCUAAAGUUCAGCCAAGUUCCCUCAUUAGAAUUCCCGCCUUUGGUUAGUCUCGUCAUAGAAUUUUGAGAGAAAAGACCCGAAGCUCACUCUUCUACAUGAACCUCAUAAGAGUUAGCAUUUCCUAGCUUAGAAUGGAACCAGGGACACGGUAUGAAUGUCAGAGCCUUAGGACUUCUCCCCUCCUCACGCCUGAAUUGUUGUAAGUCAUUCUAGUUCUUCCACGUGGGAUGCUGCCACAGAAUGGCUUGAUGAGCAGCGUGCAGGUCUGUGCCCAGGAUCGGAACCGGUGAACCCUGAGUCACCGGAGCGGAGCACGUGAACUUAACCAAUCGGCCAUGGGGCUGGCCAGCUAAUUUUGUAUGUAAACUUAAUUCUCGGUCAAGAUGUCCUGGAUGCUCUUGGUAUUUUUAAUCUCACAUUGUUCAUUUUCACUCUUAACUUCAGUCUACAGAAUAUGUCAAAAUGGGGGCCCACAGAGAAGCUUUCUACACUGAAGUUUUUUUUCUUGGACUGAUUCUUCAGGCCUAGAAGCUCUCUUUAUUGGGCAAGUGACAGGGUAGCAAGUUCCUCCCCGGCUCUCAGUAUCAAGAAGGGUUUGAUUAUAAAAGAGAGCUUCUCUAAACCUGUUCAGGAAAAUAAAAUAGUAAAAUAUAAGUCUAUCAUUUUCAUAGGACUACCUCAUUGCCAGAAAGAGUCCUACAAUCUUUUCCGUGUUGUCAUGUACCUCUACUUAAAGGGCAUAAAAAGAAUAUCAGGAAUCACUUUGAAGAAUUAAUCUAGCCCAACACACCCUUAUAAAGAAGAUUUAAUAGUUUAUUUAAUAGUUUAUUUGACCACCUACUCAAAAUUUGUUUAUCUUCAGUUUUCCUCUAAUUCUGCAAUUUUGUUACAGUUUUACCUAAGUUUCAAACAGAUAAUCACAAUUUAAAUUAAAAACAAACACUUCACAAUAUAGGAAAAGCCUGACUGAAAGAUAAAUUGUACAUCUCAAGUUAGCACAACAAAAUGUGUUUGAUAAACUGCCAAAUAAAUCUUUGAGUUGCCUCCCCGACCCUUGAACUGAUUUUUUCUCUUAAGGGCAUAAUUAAGCUUUCAUUCAGAAUGCCGUAUACCUCACAUUGCGAUUAUUGCUCUUAUCAAAAUCAACCAGUUGUUCUCCUCAACUUGCCCUGAAAUUUUAACUCCUCCGGAAAGCUCUCAGUUGCACACUCUCUACAAACAUUCCACCCAUCUCUGGUAUCCAAUGCCCACAGCAACUCAAGGAGGCGUUUGCAAUUUUAAUACGUUCCAGAAACAGGAGUUGAAAAAUGACGAAUUCACGAUGAUGAGAGGAAAUUCUGGAGGUUUUUAAAAAAGAAAAGAUUCUAUCAUAUUACUGGACUGUAAGAAAUAUCACUAGCAAUCUUUUUUCAUACAAUCCUAGAGUUCAUUAACAUUAAACCUUUGAUCAUGUAAGUAGAGUUGCAUGACCCCAUUUCAUUACUGUUAUUAAAAAUAAUGGUACCUGCCCUGUAUCUCCCAAUCCAUGAAGGAAAAUCACCUACAAGAGAAAAAAUUAAUAAACAAUGCCCAAAUAAACCCACACAGAAUUGAUACACACUAGCGUUGGUCAAUUCUGGAUGCCAGAAUUUCAGAACACUACCUUCAGCAAAUCAAACUCCAUAGAGCUCUCUUCAGUGGGAAAAAUACUUAAUUUCUCUCACUGUAGUUCCGAAGAUAAUUAAUGUGCGGCCUUAGCACUUAAAGAGGUCCCAGUUAGACAUUCUUAAGUGCAAAUAACAUUCUAGGAAAAAUAGUUUGUUUCAAGUCAAACCAUGCAAGUCUCAUGUAAACUGUAGACUUUUUCCAUCACAAAAAGGAGCUUCCGGGGUUAAAAAGACAUUUGAGCUCCUCGUACACGGUUUUCUAAAAAACAGCACCCUGUGAUGUCAUAAGUUGCCAAUCUUCAAACUUCUUUAAUUCAGGACACGAGUGCAAGGUAAGAAAAUAAAGUCAUUUUCUUGAGGACUUCAGACUUCCCUCACCCACAAACAAGAGAGAAACGAGCAACGGAGCCACCUCGAGUUAGGGUGCCUGGCCGCUAACGCCGGUCCCUACAAGCUGGGGACUCGCUCCGCAAUGCAGAGGGCUCGGGGCUGACGGGGGCGGGCGCGCUGAUCCUCCGGCCCGGCCGCAGCCCCGGCGCCCUCCCGACACCGACCACCCCACCCCACCCCACCCACCCAGCCCACCCCGGACCCGGCGGAGGGAACCCACCCACCGGCCGCCAGGCGGUCAGCGACGCCAACCCUGCGCGAAGGGCAGUGGUGAGCAGCGGGCCGAGGGUCCCCUCCGAGCCCCGGCUGCCGCCACUCACCGCAGCAGUGGCCUUCCGGGCGGCGGGGAUGAUGGCGGGAAGCGGGGCAGACAUGUUAUUACCGCACAUACACCGGCUCGACCGACAACGCGCGUCGCAGGCGGAAGGGAGAGAGGGCUCCCGGCCCGCCCCACCGGGCGCGCGCUCAGGUGUCGGCGGCCCGGCGGCGCUCUUUCCUGCCGGGCGUCCGGGACACCCUGGGGGAGACGCUCUCAGCCCCAGCGGGACUGCGUGGUCCCUGGAGCCUGGGCUUGCCUUCCGCUCCUGGGGCGCUGUAGUGAAAAGAAUGAGCCCCAAAGCCAGUCAUCCGCAACCCCACAUACUCCUUCGUUUCCUGAAGCUGGGGUGGACUCGUUUGCGCUGGGAGAGGUCGCUCGAGCUUUCGCUGUAUUUCCGUUUGGGGCUACACCAGUGUGCAGUUUUGGAGUCGACUCCCCUCCUCCUUUAAACUUCAGCUGAAAGAGAAAACAUUCAGUUGUCACCGAGAAUGCACAACUUAUUGAUCGAUGGAUAGUGACAUAGUACUGAUUUAAGCAUGAGACUAGACGGUCCCUUUUCUGCACAGGUGGGUCAAUGCAUAUUAAAUACAUGGUAUGAUCUGGGAAAGCGCAAGAGAUAGAAACCCCGUAGAACCAAAAUGGCCAGACCUUCUGAAGUUUAUCGUUCAAUGGAGAAAGUUAAAUGAUAUACACAGUCCUUAGGGAGUACAGUGUAAGAUAGGGAAAGAAGCUGGUGAACAAAAGGCUUUAAAACACACACACACACACACACACACACACUCACUCACACUCACUCCACUUUAAUUCAUAGGAUAACCAGAAUGCAGUCGUACUGUUUUUUAUCUUUCUUGUCUUGGAUUUGAGUGCUGAGAAUUUGGGGGGCUCUCCGAAAUGUUAAAUUGAUGCUGAUUUAUUGAAAAUGAUAAUGUGACAUUUCACUUAUGAGUCUACAAUUAUGUCAGGCUUUUAAGUACUUGGUUGUGAUUUAAGUAUUUGGUUGUGAUGUUAAUAGAGACUAAAACUAUCUUUAGCUGUUAUGUCAACCUAAAUGAAGCUGUCUGGGGGGCAAGCUCAAAAAAUGAGUUUAUUUGGGAAUAGCCGAGGAAUUGCAAUUCUGGACGUGCAAACUAUGGUGAACCAUAGGCAAGUUGGAAGAGACAAGGGGAAAGUUAGUUUUUAUUAGGUGUUAGGAGGAAAUUAAGGAGGGUUAUUUAGAAUAAAAGUUCAUUGGAGAAGAACAAGAGUGUAAGGUUGUGACAAUGCGUUGUCGCUGCGGCAGGGACGGAUCUUCCUUCCUUUUCUUAAAAGCAGGAGAUGAAAUUCCUAGGUGAAGAUGUCCUCCGUUGCACCAGCAGAAAAGUUACAUUCUUAUCAUCACGGAUAAGAAGUUGGGACUGAGAGAAUUUUAUACAAAUAGGCCUGGUUAAAAUAAUUCUUAUCGUCCAUCUUCCUGCCAGUUAGGCAGGCAGCAGUGAGUGGUAUGUACGUGAGAGGUCCCCCUUCAGGGUUUCAUGACUCCAUUUUAAAAGAGGUUUUCCUUUAUUUUCACACUUACUAUGAACAAAACAUGUUCCAAGACACUACUAGUCUGAGUUUUUCUGUGAUGUAAUAUGUAGAGUUCCAGGUGCCACCAGCGGUUCUAUCAACUGACUUCCGUUAGUUGGGAGUAGGACAGCUCAAUUUUAUCUAGAGACAUGCACAGCAUAACAGCGUUUGGGUCAAGGACGGAGGGCAUAUAGGAGGGUGGUCCCGUAAGAUUAGUACCAUAUAGCCUAGGUGUGUAGUAGUCUAUACCAUCUAGGUUUGUGUGAGUACACUCUAUGAUGAAUUGUGUAAGUACGCUCAAUGAUGAAACUGCCUAACACAUUUCUCAGAAUGUAUCCCCAUCAUUGAGCAAUGCGUGGCUAUAUUUCUGUCAUCCUCCCCUCUUAGCCAGUCCAAUUGCUGCUAUUCCUGCAAGAUUCACCGAAGUCUUACAUCCUCUAAGGAACCUUAGUGUUCUAAUUAAUCUCUUUGUCCCCCAGAUAAGAGAAAGAAAGAAAUAUAGUAAUAGAAAAAAGACAAAAUUAGCAUUAUUUUCAGAGGAUGAUGAUGCUAAGGUGUUUAAAGCAAAAGCCAACUGAGUAAAUUUGAAGAUCGAAUUGGCUCUAUCCAACAAUUCAUGAAUUGAGCAGCAUCCCAGCUAGCAAAUAGAAGGGAGGUCCAAGGAGCUAUGCAAAGUGGAAGGCUGUUAUGGGCAGAAGGGACGGAAUAAAGGAAGUUUCUAGCAAAGAGCAGAUUCGGGCAAGAUCACCUUCCUUUGGGGAAGAGUAGUGUGGGGAUCUAUGAGGCAGAUUACUCACUCAUGCCGACCAGGUAAUUCCAGAUUGACUAGUUAAAGGUCACAUUCCUGUGAGAGACUGAAAGUGCAAUUAAGUCUUGAUUUAUUGAUGUGGGACUUAGCACAAGUGACACCAUUUUGUUCCUGUUUUUUCUUUUUUAACAGUUCUCCCCCUUUGCAUGAGACUCUUAGCAUAACUUGAAAGAUGUGAUCAAAAUUUAAGGCAUUAGUGCCACUCUCAGCUACCGCUCUGUUGGUCUCGCAGCUUUUACUGUUUCUCCGUGUUAUAGUCACAGGUCAUGAGGUUUUCUGCUGAAUCCUGUGGUAUUCACAGGUCACGACUUCACAUUCAUUUGCUUGAUGGUUAGCAGCUGCAAACACGCAUUUAAAGCUUUUGAGAGAAUACAGUGCAUCAGGGAGAUUACUAUGACUGUUACUGGUAGGAUAAUUCCCAUGUCUGGAGUGCACUUCAGAGCCAUGGUCCCCAAGACCCAAACCAAUCAAAAUCCAAUAAGUGAAAGAAAUACUCUGUUGAAGGAGUCACCUUUUUAAGCCAAGUGGCGCACUCAGUGAUUUUAUGUAACUAAAUUUCAGCUUCCCCAGAAGUGUUAAUCCAGGUGCAGCGGUGGUGGCCACAGCACAGACACAUCCUUGCUCAGCUAACAAAUGAUCAAGGGCUGUCAUAUUAUCAAGAACUACUUUGAGCUGAGAGUCUAGAGAUUUUCAUUGGGCAGCUAUUGCUUUAGCAGCGAAUUCUGCAAUACUUUCAAGAGUUAAGGAGGGAUUUCUGAUCACAGCCUCAUUUGUACUCACUCCUAACAAAGGAAGUAGGGACCUGCCGAAAGAAGCACAUCCUGAAUCAUGAAGGCCUCCUGGCAGGUCUUUUCGAAUUGGAUGAUUAGGGGAGUUGACCAAUGAAGUGUCUUAGCCUAUUUGAGAACAGUUGAGUGGCACAGUUAGAUAACCUAAGGGGCAUUGCCCAGUUAUGUGUUAGCCAUCUAAGCAUUUAUAGGUCCAAGGAGAAUGAUCACCACCACCGAUGAAAUUAAAUCCUGUUGGGGCGUAAACCAUUACUGCUCAGGUGGCAUUGUUCAUGGGUUCCAGCAUCAUGAACAGAUUGGAGUUUUUGAUGAUGAAUCCAGCUGUCUGAAAGGUUGCUCUCCCUUAGUAAUGGCUUGGGAGAUAUGAUGGUGGCAUUAUCUUGCCAGGCCAAUGCCAGAGUAAAGGAAAGAAGAGAGGAAGACAGUGUUUCAUGUUUAGUUAAAAUGGGAAAUCUUGAUCUGGUGUCUUGGGUGGAAGCAGUCUACGUCAAUGUCAGCUGCUUCUCCUGCUCAUCAGUUUGAUUCAGAGGUCUUCAGUGUUUGUAAAGGACCAGAGGUCAGGAGGAGCUUUCUUCCACUGUGAGAUGUGUAGCCAAGGUUUAAGUCCUGGAGGUUUGGCUGCCAUCUGGGUCGGGAGGAAGACCUAGUAUAUUCCUUUCCAAGGAGAUUCAAGGACAGUCUUUGGUCUCAGUGAUUCCAAAUCAGAAGGAUGGGAGGCAAUAGGAAACAUUCGGUUGGAGAGUGGUAGCCAGAUAUUUGAGAAAAUUAGAAGAAUUUAGGAUCCAGUUCAGUUUACAGGUAUAUAACAAAACCUCAAAGACAAUUAACAGGGUUAGAAUCUAAAUAUCUACAAAGGUGCAAACAUAAUUUUUCUCUCUACAAUUACCCCAUUUUUUACCAAAGAUAAUCAGAGUAAAACUAAUUUGUUUGUAUUAAACUUGGCCUGAUUAUUUACAUGAGUGUAGCAAGAAUGGUGAUUGACCACAUAAGCUCUUUUAAGACUGCUUUGCUGGAACUUUUUAUAAGGAAUCUCAGAUUUGACUCUUUCAAAGCCUCUGAGGCCAGGAAGCCGAGCCAAGUUUCAGGCAGUUCCUUACAGCUGUCUGGUCAUGUCUGAAUCUAUGCAUCUCUCUCUCAACUAUGACAUUCCAGUCAAAGCCUUGGUAA